rnacentral:rRNA from 1 species
GAUGAACGCUGGCGGCAGGCCUAACACAUGCAAGUCGGACGGUAGCACAGAGGAGCUUGCUCCUCGGGUGACGAGUGGCGGACGGGUGAGUAAUGUCUGGGGAUCUGCCCGAUGGAGGGGGAUAACCACUGGAAACGGUGGCUAAUACCGCAUAACGUCGCAAGACCAAAGAGGGGGACCUUCGGGCCUCUCACUAUCGGAUGAACCCAGAUGAGAUUAGCUAGUAGGCGGGGUAAUGGCCCACCUAGGCGACGAUCCCUAGCUGGUCUGAGAGGAUGACAAGCCACACUGGAACUGAGACACGGUCCAGACGCCUACGGGAGGCAGCAGUGGGGAAUAUUGCACAAUGGGCGCAAGCCUGAUGCAGCCAUGCCGCGUGUAUGAAGAAGGCCUUCGGGUUGUAAAGUACUUUCAGCGGGGAGGAAGGCGGUGCGGUUAAUAACCGUGCCGAUUGACGUUACCCGCAGAAGAAGCACCGGCUAACUCCGUGCCAGCAGCCGCCGUAACAC